rnacentral:rRNA from 1 species
CGUUGGCCCCUGACCGGGGUUGCGGACAGUGUCUGGUGGGUAGUUUGACUGGGGCGGUCUCCUCCCAAAGCGUAACGGAGGAGCACGAAGGUUAGCUAAUCCUGGUCGGACAUCAGGAGGUUAGUGCAAUGGCAUAAGCUAGCUUGACUGCGAGCGUGACGGCGCGAGCAGGUGCGAAAGCAGGUCAUAGUGAUCCGGUGGUUCUGAAUGGAAGGGCCAUCGCUCAACGGAUAAAAGGUACUCCGGGGAUAACAGGCUGAUACCGCCCAAGAGUUCAUAUCGACGGCGGUGUUUGGCACCUCGAUGUCGGCUCAUCACAUCCUGGGGCUGAAGUAGGUCCCAAGGGUAUGGCUGUUCGCCAUUUAAAGUGGUACGCGAGCUGGGUUUAGAACGUCGUGAGACAGUUCGGUCCCUAUCUGCCGUGGGCGCUGGAGAAUUGAGGGGGGCUGCUCCUAGUACGAGAGGACCGGAGUGGACGCAUCACUGGUGUUCGGGUUGUCAUGCCAAUGGCACUGCCCGGUAGCUAAAUGCGGAAGAGAUAAGUGCUGAAAGCAUCUAAGCACGAAACUUGCCCCGAGAUGAGUUCUCCCUGAGACUUUAAGUCUCCUGAAGGAACGUUGAAGACGACGACGUUGAUAGGCCGGGUGUGUAAGCGCAGCGAUGCGUUGAGCUAACCGGUACUAAUGAACCGUGAGGCUUAACCUU